rnacentral:lncRNA from 11 species
UUUCACUUUUGGAUCUCUCUCUUUUGGAAGAAGAGGCUGAAGAAGCUAUGCUCUUUGUAUUUUGCAAUGCUUCUUGCAUCUUGAAAUGUUUACAAGGACUAUGCUGCUGUUCGUCUCCAUUGUCUUGGCUCUUUGUGCCAUUCCAUGAUGUGGACCUUCUUGUGACGACUUCACCUCUUGGACCUUGGACUGGAACUCAACUCGGCUUAUCUCUUCGCUCCCAAACUUGGCUUGGCGUCGUUCCUGUCUUUGUGGCUGUCUACUGUUGCUGACUACUGGCUUUGUUUCCGACCCUGACGCAUUCUCCUUAUCCCGACUUCGGACCGGCUUGACUACGUUACAGUGUUCUGCUCCUUUAAUUCCUGGCUCAGCGUUUGUCUCUGCAGCGGUUUGCCGCUACCUCUUCAGCGUCGUCCAGUUUCACUUGUUUUUGCCACUCACAGCAAAGAGCUUUUUAGUCCGGUUUGGGUUCUUGUUUCAGUUUGGAAUCGCUGUUGUACUUCUGGGUUUUGGGAAAGUUUUUGGGGCUUCAUAACUGUUUGCCUUUGUUUGUUUUGCCAUUUUAAGCCCGUUUUGAGUUUUUGGGCUGAGUUCAAGUAUUCUAUGUUAAAUCCGGAUUAUAUCUCUGGUUAAUCCGGAUUAUAUGCCAAUUAAUGCUUUUGGCAUUUUUCCUGCUUUGACUGCCUAAUAACACUGAAGAUUAAGUGUUUCAAGUCUCUGUUAAUUUACUGAACUAUUUUUGGACUAUUACUUUAAUAAACUAUAUUUUGGC